CAUGGGCCCUUGGCCCAGCUCCGACAUAAACUGUCUGGACCCCCUCCAGCCAGUGAGUCCAUCUUUAGCCAUGGGCCAUUUGGGAACCAUCAGACGCAUUCAGGGGCUGCAAGGUCUCAUCAUGUUGACACUGAAUAGGAAGGCUCAGAAAGGGGGUUUAGCCCCCAGAGCAUAGGCCUGUGGUCUGAAGCUACAGCCCAGGACUCUCACACAGGGUGAGCUCCCGGCUGGAGCGCCUGGACUUGCUCCAAGACUGUGGCCUUGUGUUUAGCCUUGGACAGAUUCAUCUCCUCGAUUGAUGACUGAUGUCCUGGUCCUACCCACCCACCUUCCAGCUCGGCUUCAUCCUGACCUGGGCAGUUGAUCUCACCCAGCACCGUCUAUCUGAGGCUCAGAGACUCCCAAAGAGCCUUUCUCUGAUGCAGUCUCCUGGUGGCACCCAGCUCACCUGCCCCUCAUCCACCCCAGUUCCCACACUAUGCUUCUUCGGUCUGCCAACCGAAGAGGCUGAAGAAGAGCAGACAUAGAAGAUGAGAUGGGGAUGUGGUUCUGGAGACAGAGGUCAACAUGUUGCAGCCACAAGGACCAUCAGCAACCACGCACAACUGGAAGAGGGAGAACUCAGCCCUGCGGACACCUGGAGCUCAAGCAGGCUCCACUGACUGUAGACUUCAGCCAGAACUGCGCGAGAAUGAAUUUUGAUCUUUGCGACUCAUUUGUUACAUCAGCAGCAUCAAGAAAGCCAUGCUGGGACCAACGGUUGGCCUGGUAAAGAGGAGCCAUUCUAAGAGGCAUAGAAGAGGAAAAGCAGAGGACCUUCCAGGAUCUGCUGUGUACGUGGCAGGGAAGAAAGCCACGGAAGUGGAAGGAAGAUCAUGGACUAUGAGGAAUGAGGGUUUGGUGGGAACCCUUCAGGCCCCCACACUUAUGACUCAUCCCUGGUUCCCAGGGCACUACUAGACCUGGUAGGGACGAAGCAAAUGCUUACAGGCUGAGUGAACACUUGACCCCCAAGCCUCAGGACAUGUCCUCUGAGAGCUGCGUGAUGGCAAAGACGAGAAGGGCCGUCCCCACCCACUGGUGUGUGCUGAGAAUGUUUACAACAGCAAGAGUUACUUCCAUGGAUGGUUCCCAUGUAUGUGGUUUUAGAGGAGACAGACGUCUCAAAUCCGUCUUUAUUAAUAGACGCCUUUGAAUGAGCAUGGGAAUUAACCCCUCUGUGGGGUUAACAGAGGACAAGCUAACCUGGGAGUCUGAUUUACUGGAUUUCUGGCACCCUUUUUCUGGAGGGGUGACUUCAGAAAGGAUGCCAACAUUCUCUGAGUCUCCAGUCCCUUAGCUGUAAGUGGGGUGAGCCUGUCACCCCUCCUCUACCACAACUGCUACAGAAGCACAUGAGGCCUGGGGCAUCUUA